UUCAUUACUGAGAGCUGCUGCUCAGCAACUUCACCCACAGCAACCAUGACUCUGAUCAGCGUCUUCAUCUGCACACUGGUGCUCUGGGCUCAAGGAUCCAGAGGUCAGGUGACUGUGACUCAGACUCCUUCAGUGCAAACUGUUGCUCCAGGAAACACAGUCACCAUCAACUGCAGAACCAAUCUCAAAGUGUAUAAUGGUAACUAUCUCGCCUGGUACCUGCAGAAACCAGGAGAAGCCCCUAAACUUCUGAUCAAGCACGUUAAUAGUUUACAGUCAGGUAUUUCAGCUCGUUUCCAAGGCAGUGGAUCUGAUACUGACUUCACGCUGACCAUCAGUGAAGUCCAGACUGAAGAUGCAGGAGAUUAUUACUGUCAGAGUGACCUUCAGAUCAGUGGCAUCUCGGUGUUCACACAGUGUUAAAGAGUCGUACAAAAACCUC